UACGUAGGGUGCGAGCGUUGUCCGGAAUUAUUGGGCGUAAAGGGCUCGUAGGCGGUUUGUCGCGUCGGGAGUGAAAUCCACUGGCUUAACUGGUGGCUUGCUUUCGAUACGGGCAGACUGGAGGUAUGCAGGGGAGAACGGAAUUCCUGGUGUAGCGGUGAAACGCGCAGAUAUCAGGAGGAACACCGGUGGCGAAGGCGGGUCUCUGGGCAGUAACUGACGCUGAGGAGCGAAAGCGUGGGGAGCGAACAGG
rnacentral:rRNA from 1 species